rnacentral:rRNA from 1 species
UCAGUUCGGAUUGCAGGCUGCAACUCGCCUGCAUGAAGUCGGAAUUGCUAGUAAUCGCGGAUCAGCAUGCCGCGGUGAAUACGUUCCCGGGCCUUGUACACACCGCCCGUCACACCAUGAGAGCCGGUAACACCCGAAGUCAGUAGUCUAACCGCAAGGGGGACGCUGCCGAAGGUGGGGCUGGUGAUUGGGGUGAAGUCGUAACAAGGUACC